UCAAGUCUAGUUAAUAAAUAACACUUUAUUUACAAUAAAGAAUUCUAUAAAAUGUAGGUCUUGAA
rnacentral:tRNA from 1 species